rnacentral:rRNA from 1 species
GAUGAACGCUGGCGGCGUGCCUAAUACAUGCAAGUCGAGCGAACAGACGAGGAGCUUGCUCCUCUGACGUUAGCGGCGGACGGGUGAGUAACACGUGGAUAACCUACCUAUAAGACUGGGAUAACUUCGGGAAACCGGAGCUAAUACCGGAUAAUAUAUUGAACCGCAUGGUUCAAUAGUGAAAGACGGUUUUGCUGUCACUUAUAGAUGGAUCCGCGCCGCAUUAGCUAGUUGGUAAGGUAACGGCUUACCAAGGCAACGAUGGGUAGCCGACCUGAGAGGGAGGAUCGCCAGCCUGGCACUGAGGAUGAGCCGCCACACCUGGGGGGAGACACAGUAGGGAAUCCUACGGGAUGGGGCAGAGGCUAACAGGGGAAAACGGGCGAAAGGCUGAAAGAUCUAUGCUGCGUAAACUCUGAUGAUCGGGGAAAACAAAAGGUUUAGUAACCGAGGUGAUAAUGACGGUACCGGAACAAGAAGCCCCGGCUAACUCCGUG